rnacentral:rRNA from 1 species
AGUGAACCAGUACCGUGAGGGAAAGGUGAAAAGCACCCCGGAAGGGGAGUGAAAUAGAACCUGAAACCGUGUGCUUACAAGUAGUCAGAGCCCGUUAAUGGGUGAUGGCGUGCCUUUUGUAGAAUGAACCGGCGAGUUACGAUUUGAUGCAAGGUUAAGCAGUAAAUGUGGAGCCGUAGCGAAAGCGAGUCUGAAUAGGGCGUUUAGUAUUUGGUCGUAGACCCGAAACCAGGUGAUCUACCCUUGGUCAGGUUGAAGUUCAGGUAACACUGAAUGGAGGACCGAACCGACUUACGUUGAAAAGUGAGCGGAUGAACUGAGGGUAGCGGAGAAAUUCCAAUCGAACCUGGAGAUAGCUGGUUCUCUCCGAAAUAGCUUUAGGGCUAGCCUCAAGUGAUGAUUAUUGGAGGUAGAGCACUGUUUGGACGAGGGGCCCCUCUCGGGUUACCGAAUUCAGACAAACUCCGAAUGCCAAUUAAUUUAACUUGGGAGUCAGAACAUGGGUGAUAAGGUCCGUG